UAAGCCGAUAUAUAAUAAUAAAACUAAUUAUAGUACAGAGUUUAAGACGUAGCGAUUCAGAAAACUUGAGAAAUAGAAGCAAUUAAAGAUAUUUGUUGAUAUCACCUGCUGUCGACAGUUCGAUAUUCUCAACAAUGGAAAAUUUACGAACGUAAAUCGGCUGCUCAGUUUUAUCGGCUCGGUAAAAAUUUGGCAGCUCCAAAUUUUGCUGACAGCGAUGAAAGCAACGAUAAAUAGACAACUCUGAUAAUUUGAACACCGAGAUACUAGGAAUUUUUUGGACGUAAAACUAGUUAGUUUCGGUCCUAUCCGUUUCCUCUGCCGAUUUACACUUCUUUUUAUGUCAUAGAAUAAUUUGUCGAGAUCUGGAACUGAUUUGUCUUUGCAUCGAGCCCUUCAACUGCCAUCGUACGUAAUACUCGAUGAAGCCGAAAGUAUUUUACGAGAAUGCAGGAGGCAAUUCGUUGGGCGAAUAUUUUACAAUUAUCUUUGUAUUGUCUUUGUAUUCUAUCGAUCGAGAAAAGUACAAACGAGAGAUUUUACCAACGAUGCCGUAUAUUUUAUGAAUGAAACGCUUGUUUCAGCUACGCGUAUGCUGUUUCAGAGAUCCAUCGUUCCACUCUUUUCGCAUCUGAGAGCAUUCCUUUGUAUUGUCGAAGCAAUUACUCUCUUGGAGUGAUUGAACGUUUCUGAAAAUUAUUUUGUCGAUACGAGCCUAAACGUAGCAGGCCCAUCAGCAAUUCUACGCAUCCAGCAAGAAAACAAAAGAGCACGAUAAAAUCCACUGGCAUGUUUCUUGUAUAUUCGAAGAUUCCCAUCGGAAUUGUAAUGACACGUAACCGAGAAAAAGGUAACAAAAGCGAGAAAUCAAAGUCGAACGAUUCGAGCGAGUGAAAACUGAGUAUCGACGAUAUGAAAACCUUAUAGAUCGGCGAUAACUAUCUUUUGCUUCUAAGAAUCUGAAGAUUGGAAUCACGACAGCCAUAGAAAAGUGCGAGAGAAAUGUUCGAAUACCUCGGUAUUGAUGGGCGAAUCAUCGUCGAUGGGACGAACAAGAUAAGAUGUAAAUAAUAGUAAACAACAAUAUAUUCAAGCAAUGGCGCGAUAUGAUAACUAGAUAGGGGUGAGAACGAAGAAAAUUUCUCGAUCGACCAAGUAAGGAGUAAAGAGUAAAAAUAUACC